AUCAGUUUCACAUUCAUGUCGCAUUUGAAGCAAAACUUUACAACAAAUGGUCAGAAGGAGUCAUUUCUUUGACUUACCAACAAGCAGAAGAAGGAUGAAACAGAUCUUCAUCAUCAUGGCAGAAAGGUGUCCUGGUGCUGACUGACGUUGGGAUGCUCUCUGGUUCCACCUGGUCAGUAUCCUUCACUGUUUGCUCUGUGAUGCUUUCGUCCAAACCGACAGCGGCUUAUAUUCACAGGCGACAGUCCGUCAGUCCUGAGAGGAUCCUGUGCUGUCGUCUUGAUGGCUCCCAGAAAGUGACAGCGGUUGUGAUGAACUGUGGGAAGUCUUGGACAGAGAGCAGGCUGACCUGUAAACCCAGCAGCCGAG